rnacentral:rRNA from 1 species
UACAGAGGUCUCAAGCGUUGUUCGGAUUCAUUGGGCGUAAAGGGUGCGUAGGUGGCGGGGUAAGUCAGGUGUGAAAUCUCGGAGCUCAACUCCGAAACUGCACUUGAUACUGCGUUGCUUGAGUACUGGAGAGGAGACUGGAAUUUACGGUGUAGCAGUGAAAUGCGUAGAUAUCGUAAGGAAGACCAGUGGCGAAGGCGAGUCUCUGGACAGUUACUGACGCUGAGGCACGAAGGCCAGGGGAGCAAACGGG